rnacentral:rRNA from 1 species
GAGGAUAUGCACAAUGGGGGAAACCUGAUGCAUGUCUAUACCGCGUGUGUGAUGAAGGUCUUAGGAUUGUAAAACACUUUCAGCAAGGGAAAAAAUUAUAUAAAUAAUACUUAUAUUAACUGAUAUUACCUGCAAAAGAAGUACCGGCUAACUCCGUGCCAGCAGCCGCGGUAAUACGGAGGGUACAAGCGUUAAUCGGAAUUAUUGGGCGUAAAGAGUACGUAGGUGGUAUAUUAAGUCAGAUGUGAAAUACUUAAGCUUAACUUAAGAACUGCAUUUGAAACUAAUAAACUAGAGUUUUAUAGAGGGGAGUAGAAUUCCAAGUGUAGCGGUGAAAUGCGUAGAUAUUUGGAGGAAUACCAGAGGCGAAGGCGACUCCCUGGGUAAUAACUGACACUGAGGUACGAAAGCUUGGGGAGCAAACAGGAUUAGAUACCCUGGUAGUCCAUGCUGUAAACGAUGUCAAUUUGAAGAUUGUAAUAUUAUUAUUUUUUAUAAUUUUCGUAGCUAACGCAUUAAAUUGACCGCUGGGGAUUACGACCGCAAGGUUAAAACUCAAAUGAAUUGACGGGGACCCGCACAAGCGGUGGAGCAUGUGGUUUAAUUCGAUACAACGCGAAAAAACUUUACCUACUCUUGACAUCUAUAAGGUAAUAAAGCAGAAAGUGUUUUAAGUAUCUGGUUUGGACCAGAAUCCUUUAAAGGACCAGGGUUGCUUGCCAUUGGGCUUUGGUUCGU